UGGGGAAUAUUGCACAAUGGGGGAAACCCUGAUGCAGCGACGCCGCGUGAAGGAAGAAGUAUCUCGGUAUGUAAACUUCUAUCAGCAGGGAAGACAAUGACGGUACCUGACUAAGAAGCCCCGGCUAACUACGUGCCAGCAGCCGCGGUAAUACGUAGGUGGCAAGCGUUAUCCGGAUUUACUGGGUGUAAAGGGCGUGUAGGCGGCAUAGCAAGUCUGAAGUGAAAGGCUGGGGCUCAACCCCGGGACUGCUUUGGAAACUGUGGAUCUAGAGUGCCGGAGAGGUAAGCGGAAUUCCUAGUGUAGCGGUGAAAUGCGUAGAUAUUAGGAGGAACACCAGUGGCGAAGGCGGCUUACUGGACGGUAACUGACGUUGAGGCUCGAAAGCGUGGGGAGCAAACAGGAUUAGAUACCC
rnacentral:rRNA from 1 species